rnacentral:lncRNA from 1 species
AUAUAAGGCCAAAUAAAAAUAUAUGUGUGGUUCCAGUAACCCUAGCUACCGUCCCUACUUUUUUGGCUAAAAAAUAGCCUACCCUAAAGAUUUUAUUGUCAUUUUUCAUUAAGCACUGUUAAAGUCAGAAUGUUGCUCCCAUAGACUCAAUGUAAAAAAAAAACAUAAAAUAAAAAAAAAUCCCUACCUACCUACCCUAACUUUUUUUCAGAUGUAACCGGAACCACACAUAGUUUUUUAUUUGGCCUAAGAAAGAACUU